GGCUCAGAUUGAACGCUGGCGGCAUGCUUUACACAUGCAAGUCGAACGGUAACGCGGAGAGAAGCUUGCUUCUCUCCGGCGACGAGUGGCGAACGGGUGAGUAAUACAUCGGAACGUGUCCGCUCGUGGGGGGACAACCAGCCGAAAGGUUGGCUAAUACCGCAUGAGUUCUACGGAAGAAAGAGGGGGACCCGCAAGGGCCUCUCGCGAGCGGAGCGGCCGAUGACUGAUUAGCCGGUUGGUGAGGUAACGGCUCACCAAAGCAACGAUCAGUAGCUGGUCUGAGAGGACGACCAGCCACACUGGGACUGAGACACGGCCCAGACUCCUACGGGAGGCAGCAGUGGGGAAUUUUGGACAAUGGGCGCAAGCCUGAUCCAGCUAUUCCGCGUGUGGGAUGAAGGCCCUCGGGUUGUAAACCACUUUUGUAGAGAACGAAAAGACACCUUUUAAAAAAGGGUGUUGCUGACGGUACUCUAAGAAUAAGCACCGGCUAACUACGUG
rnacentral:rRNA from 1 species